rnacentral:rRNA from 1 species
CGCCGGGCGAUGGUAGCCCCGGUUGUAAAGGACACAAUUGAGUGGAAGGUAACAUGGAUGGAGACAAGAAAAGCUGUGUGUAUCUGGAAGGAGCCCGUACCGCAAACCGACACAGGUAGAUAGGAAGAAGAUUCUAAGGCCAGCGGGAGAAGGGUUGUUAAGGAACUCGGCAAGUUGACCCCGUAACUUCGGGAGAAGGGGUGCUUACGAAGGUAAGCCGCAGAGAAUAGGCCCAAGCGACUGUUUAGCAAAAACACAGCUCUAUGCUAAAUCGAAAGAUGACGUAUAUGGGGUGACACCUGCCCGGUGCUGGAAGGUUAAGAGGAGAUGUGAGAGCAUUGAAUUGAAGCCCCAGUAAACGGCGGCCGUAACAAUAACGGUCCUAAGGUAGCGAAAUUCCUUGUCAGGUAAGUUCUGACCCGCACGAAUGGUGUAACGAUUUGGGCACUGUCUCAACAACCUACCCGGCGAAAUUGUAGUACCGGUGAAGAUGCCGGUUACCCGCGACUAGACGGAAAGACCCCAUGGAGCUUCACUGUAGCUUAAUAUUGAAUUUUGGUAUUUCAUGUACAGGAUAGGUGGGAGACUGGGAAAUACAGGCGUCAGCUUGUAUGGAGUCACUGUUGGGAUACCACUCUUGAGGUGCUGAAAUUCUAACCUGCGUCUUUGAAUCAAGACGGGGGACAUUGUUAGGUGGGCAGUUUGACUGGGGCGGUCGCCUCCAAAAGAGUAACGGAGGCGCUCAAAGGUUCGCUCAGCAUGGACGGAAACCAUGCCAAAGAGUGCAAACGCAAAAGCGAGCCUAACUGCGAGACUGACGGGUCGAGCAGUAACGAAAGUUGGAGUUAGUGAUCCGGCGGUAUGUGAGUGAAAGUGCCGUCGCUCAACGGAUAAAAGCUACCCUGGGGAUAACAGGCUGAUCUCCCCCAAGAGUCCACAUCGACGGGGAGGUUUGGCACCUCGAUGUCGGCUCAUCGCAUCCUGGGGCUGAAUUCGGUCCCAAGGGUUUGGCUGUUCGCCAAUUAAAGCGGUACGCGAGCUGGGUUCAGAACGUCGUGAGACAGUUCGGUCCCUAUCUGUCGUGGGCGUAGGAUAUUUGAAAGGAGCUGUCCCUAGUACGAGAGGACCGGGAUGGACGCACCUCUGGUGAACCAGUUGUCACGCCAGUGGCACGGCUGGGCAGCUAAGUGCGGAACGGAUAAACGCUGAAAGCAUCUAAGCGUGAAGCCGACCUUAAGAUAAGAUAUCCGUUCUUCGGAAUAAGACCCCUUGUAGACUACGAGGUUGAUAGGCUUAAAGUGUAAGCAUGGUGACAUGUUUAGCUUGCAAGUACUAAUCGGUCGAUUGCUUUUCCU